GGCUUGGUGGUGGAUGGUCCAUAUCUGCAGAAAGUCUGCAACAAUGAUAGAACUUUACAGAGCAGAAGUAGCCUGUUCGAAUCAGGCCCGAGCCA